UGGAAUCGUGUUUCGGCACGAGUUGUAAAUUGCAGGUUGGAGUCUUUGUGGAAGCGUGUGUCCAAGUCCCUUGGAACAGGGCGCCAUUGAGGGUGAGAGCCCCGUGGGAUGCGCGCGGAAGCAGCAAGGCCCUUCUGACGAGUCGAGUUGUUUGGGAAUGCAGCUCUAAGCGGGUGGUAAAUUCCAUCUAAGGCUAAAUACUGGCGAGAGACCGAUAGCGAACAAGUACUGUGAAGGAAAGAUGAAAAGCACUUUGAAAAGAGAGUGAAACAGCACGUGAAAUUGUUGAAAGGGAAGGGUAUUGGGCCCGACAUGGGGAUUGCGCAUCUCUGCUCCUUGUGGGCGGGGCGCUGUGCUUUUCCUGGGCCAGCAUCGGUUUUUGCCGCAGGAGAAGGGGUACUGGAAUGUGGCUCCUCGGAGUGUUAUAGCCAGUGCCAGAUGCUGCGUGCGGGGACCGAGGGCUGCGACAUCUGUCUCGGAUGCUGGCACAACGGCGCAAUACCGCCCGUCUUG
rnacentral:rRNA from 1 species